rnacentral:rRNA from 1 species
CCAGACUCCUACGGGAGGCAGCAGUGGGGAAUAUUGCACAAUGGGGGAAACCCUGAUGCAGCGACGCCGCGUGAAGGACGAAGUAUUUCGGUACGUAAACUUCUAUCAGCAGGGAAGAAAAUGACGGUACCUGACCAAGAAGCCCCGGCUAACUACGUGCCAGCAGCCGCGGUAAUACGUAGGGGGCAAGCGUUAUCCGGAUUUACUGGGUGUAAAGGGAGCGUAGACGGCCAUGCAAGUCUGAUGUGAAAACCCGGGGCUCAACCCCGGGACUGCAUUGGAAACUGUGCGGCUGGAGUGUCGGAGAGGCAAGUGGAAUUCCUAGUGUAGCGGUGAAAUGCGUAGAUAUUAGGAGGAACACCAGUGGCGAAGGCGGCUUACUGGACAGUAACUGACGUUGAGGCUCGAAAGCGUGGGGAGCAAACAGGAUUAGAUACCCUUGUA